AGUCACUGACAUUAGAUACCCCGGUAGUCCAGGGUGUAAACGCUGCAGACUUGGUGUUGGGAACCCUUCGGGGGUGCUCAGUGCCGGAGAGAAGUUGUUAAGUCUGCUACUUGGGGAGUACGUCCGCAAGGAUGAAACUUAAAGGAAUUGGCGGGGGAGCACCACAACGGGUGGAGCCUGCGGUUUAAUUGGACUCAACGCCGGAAAUCUCACCGGAUAGGACAGACAUAUGAUAGUCGGGCUGAAGACUCUACUUGAUGAUCUG
rnacentral:rRNA from 1 species